AGAGUUUGAUCCUGGCUCAGGAUGAACGCUGGCGGCGUGCCUAAUACAUGCAAGUCGAGCGAACGGACGAGAAGCUUGCUUCUCUGAUGUUAGCGGCGGACGGGUGAGUAACACGUGGAUAACCUACCUAUAAGACUGGGAUAACUUCGGGAAACCGGAGCUAAUACCGGAUAAUAUUUUGAACCGCAUGGUUCAAAAGUGAAAGACGGUCUUGCUGUCACUUAUAGAUGGAUCCGCGCUGCAUUAGCUAGUUGGUAAGGUAACGGCUUACCAAGGCAACGAUGCAUAGCCGACCUGAGAGGGUGAUCGGCCACACUGGAACUGAGACACGGUCCAGACUCCUACGGGAGGCAGCAGUAGGGAAUCUUCCGCAAUGGGCGAAAGCCUGACGGAGCAACGCCGCGUGAGUGAUGAAGGUCUUCGGAUCGUAAAACUCUGUUAUUAGAGAAGAACAUAUGUGUAAGUAACUGUGCACAUCUUGACGGUACCUAAUCAGAAAGCCACGGCUAACUACGUGCCAGCAGCCGCGGUAAUACGUAGGUGGCAAGCGUUAUCCGGAAUUAUUGGGCGUAAAGCGCGCGUAGGCGGUUUUUUAAGUCUGAUGUGAAAGCCCACGGCUCAACCGUGGAGGGUCAUUGGAAACUGGAAAACUUGAGUGCAGAAGAGGAAAGUGGAAUUCCAUGUGUAGCGGUGAAAUGCGCAGAGAUAUGGAGGAACACCAGUGGCGAAGGCGACUUUCUGGUCUGUAACUGACGCUGAUGUGCGAAAGCGUGGGGAUCAAACAGGAUUAGAUACCCUGGUAGUCCACGCCGUAAACGAUGAGUGCUAAGUGUUAGGGGGUUUCCGCCCCUUAGUGCUGCAGCUAACGCAUUAAGCACUCCGCCUGGGGAGUACGACCGCAAGGUUGAAACUCAAAGGAAUUGACGGGGACCCGCACAAGCGGUGGAGCAUGUGGUUUAAUUCGAAGCAACGCGAAGAACCUUACCAAAUCUUGACAUCCUUUGACAACUCUAGAGAUAGAGCCUUCCCCUUCGGGGGACAAAGUGACAGGUGGUGCAUGGUUGUCGUCAGCUCGUGUCGUGAGAUGUUGGGUUAAGUCCCGCAACGAGCGCAACCCUUAAGCUUAGUUGCCAUCAUUAAGUUGGGCACUCUAAGUUGACUGCCGGUGACAAACCGGAGGAAGGUGGGGAUGACGUCAAAUCAUCAUGCCCCUUAUGAUUUGGGCUACACACGUGCUACAAUGGACAAUACAAAGGGCAGCGAAACCGCGAGGUCAAGCAAAUCCCAUAAAGUUGUUCUCAGUUCGGAUUGUAGUCUGCAACUCGACUACAUGAAGCUGGAAUCGCUAGUAAUCGUAGAUCAGCAUGCUACGGUGAAUACGUUCCCGGGUCUUGUACACACCGCCCGUCACACCACGAGAGUUUGUAACACCCGAAGCCGGUGGAGUAACCUUUUAGGAGCUAGCCGUCGAAGGUGGGACAAAUGAUUGGGGUGAAGUCGUAACAAGGUAGCCGUAUCGGAAGGUGCGGCUGGAUCACCU
rnacentral:rRNA from 1 species